rnacentral:lncRNA from 1 species
UUCUCUCCAUUUCACAUUUUCUUCACCCUCCAUGAGAAGAAAACCUUGAAUCCUCCAAAAAUCUCUCAUAAGAAGUCCAAGUUUCAUGCUUUUGCUCACUCCUUCAAAGGGUUUUUCAUGCUCUUUCACUUUUACGCCUCAACAGCCUUCAAAAGUCUUUCUUUAGUACAUUCACUCACUAGCUGGAAGUGUAGAGAGAGAGAGAGAGAGUGAUUUCCCUUAUUAGCUUGAAGAAUUUUGAAAGAGAAUUCAACUACAAAGAUCAUCAAGGUGAGUAUGAGUUAGGGUUAAUCUCUUUAGUUGUUGAUAAUGUUUAGUAAUUAGAUUUGUGAGUUUUUUAUUAUUGAGGUUGUUUAUUCAUUCUUAGUGUGACUAGAGAAGUGCAAAUAAUAGCCAAUUAGUAGUAGUUGGAAGUUAGUUAGGGAUGACUAGUAGAACUUGAUUUAGGAAAUAACUUUCGGAAUGCUAUUAAUGCCUAGUUGGGUUGAUGGCGAUGUUGUGUGUGAUAGGUUCCAACGAAACCCCACACCUCCAUUCAGAACAUUAAUCGAAGUUAGAGUCCACCAAAACAUCAACAAAGACUG